AAAGACCAAAAUAAAACCCUUCGGAAUCCGCAUACGAAAAUGACACCGAUUAAAAAGAUGAACCGUUUCUUACCAUUAGUUAUUCUUUUAGUAUAUUAAAAUUUUAUGAAUAGCCCCUUUUUGAGAUUGUAUUAAAGUUUCAAUCUUUUCCUGUUUUCUUAGAGCUUUGAAAAUCUGGAUGAUACUUUUUGAUUGACAUACUCCAUUUUCCCCCUCUCAGUGUAUCGUGCCUUCUCUUCUUCUACAACCUAAUGUUCUCUUCCUUAAAAGAUUGAUCACUUCUUCAAAUUUCCCUGCUAAUAAUAUCUACUUCCUACCCUCACUGACAUCUUCACUACCAUGUUACAUUUACUUCUGCUUUGGGUUUUUAUAUCAGUUCGUAUUUUAUUCCUUCCGUUGCUGCAGAACUGGAUAACAAGCACUUACAAGUUCAUUCUAAGUCAAAAAAAAAAAAAAAAAAAAACCAAACAUGCUUAUUUUUUACGCCUAUGAAGUGUUCGCAAAAAUGACAUACAGAAAUCACCCACAGAUUGAGAAAAAAUCUAAGUUGGAAAAACCAUUAAUGUUGCUGGUGAUGCAGAGUAACAAAAGAAAUCAGAAGAUAAUUGAAUGUCCUUCAUGAUAUACUGAGCAGGCAAUUGGUAAACUAAAGCUCAGGUACACAGCUGUACAUUCAAAGUAAUAACCCUCCAACGCAACUACAAAAUAUUGCCAAUUGAGACGCCGGUGAAAUGGGAAACAAUCCUGCAGGCUGCAGUAAAAGAUGGAAAGGGGGAAGUCUUGCACUGUUGAUGAAAGAAAAACACAUGUAUUACCGUUGAAACAAACUCAAUUAGUGCUAAAGUGAGGAAGGAGUUGUGGAAGAGCUUAUGCGCAUCACGUAAUCUAAACAUAUGUCUAUCGUUAUUGUUGAUCUAUGGAUGCAAAUCAUUCUUUAAUAAACACUUCCAAAAAAAUGUACAAUUUUCAUGAUUGUAAACAUUGAAUAUCUUGCAAGGGAGAAAAUGUUUAUGUUGCUCUUAGAUUCGCUGUAAAUGAAUCAGCUCCGCUGGCCACUUGUACUGGAAAGAAGUUCAGUGAUCAUACCUUCCGACAUUUUUAAAGCACUAUGAUAUCAUAUAUGGCUAUACUUUAUGUUUCUGUGU